UACGGNGGGGGUUAGCGUUGUUCGGAAUUACUGGGCGUAAAGCGCGCGUAGGCGGACCAGAAAGUUGGGGGUGAAAUCCCGGGGCUCAACCCCGGAACGGCCUCCAAAACUCCUGGUCUUGAGUUCGAGAGAGGUGAGUGGAAUUCCGAGUGUAGAGGUGAAAUUCGUAGAUAUUCGGAGGAACACCAGUGGCGAAGGCGGCUCACUGGCUCGAUACUGACGCUGAGGUGCGAAAGUGUGGGGAGCAAACAUC
rnacentral:rRNA from 1 species